GGUCCUGGCCGAGCAGGCUGUGAGUUGAAAAGAUGAGUCAUUCUGCUCAGAAGGUUCACAAUGUAGAUUUCUUGUUUUUGUACUUGUAGUGCCUAGAAUUAUGCCUGGGAAAAAGGAGGCCCAUGGUACAUAUUUGUUAACUAAGAACGUCUUUGCUUGUCUAAUAGACACUGCUGCAGUGGUUUGGCUUGCUGGGUGAAUCACCAGAACAACCCUCCCAUGUCCAGAGCUGCUGGUUCUUGGGCCUCUGAACUGCAGGACUUACAUCUGCUGCUUUGGCCUGGGAAGGAGAGUUACAGCAUCCACGUUCCAUAUUCUGUCUGGACUUGAGCUGAACUACAGCACUACACCUUUUCCAGUUCUCCAGCUUGAGAAUGGCAUAUUGUGAGACUUCUUUCCCUCCAUAAUUACGCAAGUCAAUUCUCAUAAUAAAUCUCCACCAGUGUCUCUCUCUCCUGUUGUUCUGCUUCCCUGGAGAACCCGGACUAAUUUACAGCAAAGGAAGACAAGGCGUUUAUAAUUUUGACAACUAUUUUUGAAUUCCUCUCCGUGGUCUCAAUACCAUGCAAGCAUCUUACCAGUGAACACUGCAAAGAUUUCUGCCUCCCUGGCUCACAAGCUGUGAGUGUUUGUUAAAAUUCUCUACUGCCCAUGAGAUACAUGAUAACAAGUCGUGCCUCAGGCUCUCUUUGCAGAGACACAAGAGUGUCGAUAUUCUUGUCCACUAUUAAGAAGAAAACAAAUGGCUACACCCAUCUGGCUGAAUGAGUGGCUAGCUAAUCCAUCCACUUUGUGUCCUAAAAGAUGGGAUGAAUGAGAAAAUACAAAGUCAUUAUCCUGAGAAAGACAACCCACAUUAUCACCGUGAGGUUUAUUGGGAAAAAAGCUAUCAAGAUUAUUUGAGAGACACAUUCAAAGUGUCUACUGUGUGUCAGGCACUGGAGACAGCCCGCUGAUUAAAGGACAUGUUCCCUUCUCAGCGCCCUGGAGGAAACAGCAUGCAAAUAAAUGAUCACAAAAUGAUAUGCAACUCGUAGCACGCAGGAUUUUGGAAGCACGGAGAAAGGAGCAGUUUUCCUUCAUUCAUACGUUUGUCAAGCACCAACCAUGGGCUACGACAGGGUGGUGAAAAGUGACAUUAAAAAUAAAAGUAAAAGAUCAAAAGAAAGAAAGGCAUACA